rnacentral:rRNA from 1 species
GACGAACGCUGGCGGCGUGCCUAAUACAUGCAAGUUGAGCGCUGAAGGUUGGUACUUGUACCAACUGGAUGAGCAGCGAACGGGUGAGUAACGCGUGGGGAAUCUGCCUUUGAGCGGGGGACAACAUUUGGAAACGAAUGCUAAUACCGCAUAAAAACUUUAAACACAAGUUUUAAGUUUGAAAGAUGCAAUUGCAUCACUCAAAGAUGAUCCCGCGUUGUAUUAGCUAGUUGGUGAGGUAAAGGCUCACCAAGGCGAUGAUACAUAGCCGACCUGAGAGGGUGAUCGGCCACAUUGGGACUGAGACACGGCCCAAACGCCUACGGGAGGCAGCAGUAGGGAAUCUUCGGCAAUGGACGAAAGUCUGACCGAGCAACGCCGCGUGAGUGAAGAAGGUUUUCGGAUCGUAAAACUCGGUUGGUAGAGAAGAACGUUGGUGAGAGUGGAAAGCUCAUCAAGUGACGGUAACUACCCAGAAAGGGACGGCUAACUACGUG